ensembl:lncRNA
AGGAGAGGUGCCUCUUAUCUGGCGAGUUCAGAAGAUUUCCGUGAGAAUCCCUCAAGAAAUGCCUGAAAAGAAGCCUUGGAAUGAGUCGAAAUCCCACAGGAAUUAUCUGCAAGAGGUAUCCUGUAUUUGGGAGGCCUGGAGAGCACCCUUUGUGUCUGUUCUUCAGCUUUUUCCAGCAGGCAGCUAAAUGGGGGUCUCGGAGCCUGGCAAACGUUGAGUAAAGGUGAUGGGAGAACAAAGGGCCAAACAAGCCGACUCUCUUUGGAGUCAGGUAUCAAGAGGAUAACCAUCGUUGUGUCAAAGGGAGCCACCACUGGUCGACACAAAAGAAUGACUGACAGCAGAAAAGAGGAUGGGGUUUCAGAGCCUGGGCAUGAAAAGGAAAACAUCAUUCUCCAUCUUUUUUGUUCACAGGCAGUGAAAGCCCCCUUAUGCGGGUCAUAGUGUGACACCACUAGAGGAAUUUGCACUCUGAAACGGCCACUAUAUUGAGUGAUUGGAUCCAUUUGUGUCUUUUAAUUGAAAGAACCGUUUUUUUUGAUGAGUCAAGGGUCAAGGCUGAAUCAGUGAGGGCGGCCGCUCAAAACCAAAACAAAAACAACACUUGUCAUCGCUUUUAUCGCAGCUGAUCCACCUUUGUGUUUGCGGGUGGUUUAAGCGGCCCAGAUGCAAGCUUGGAAUCAUGCCGGGCUUGUGAUGCCCCCAUCGCGAAUUACUUUUGUGUGCGGGGAGGUUAUCUGUCGGCCUCUUUCAAAGGUGGAGGACAGACAAUAGGCUUUCGUGCCAUGCGAAGAGAGUGUCCCUCCCUCAGCAUGCAAGGCUUGGUUCAUGAACACAGCACAAAGGAAUGAGAUCCCCACCUCAUCCCAGACUGGAUUAACAUAGACGCACAUAUACACAACACAUAUGCACGCAUAAUAGGUCUAAUUUGUUUGUUUACGAUGUUCUGUUGCCAAUGGCUGAUUGUAACCACAACACAAGAGCUAAUCAGACACUUUCUGCUGCAAGUCAUGCCAUACCAGCAUAUAAGUCAGACGUAGAGCUAAAAUAUGAUUUGAAAAUAGAAUUAUGCAUUUCUGAGUGCUAAUCUAAGAGGUCAAUGCAUGUCCAUGGAUAUAACACAUCCAUCUUCAUUUAGAGAAACAAAAUCAGAGAGCCAACUUCUCAAACUUCUGUUAGUAGGAAACAUUUAAAUGACUACAAUAAUGCGUUUGCCAAUCAAAACUCAUGCUAACUAUGUGCUGAGAAACGAUGACUCACUGACCAUUUGUCAGAGAGAGAUUUACAUUUUGGCCCGAGGCUUCUACGGUUCGCUUCGGAUGGUCCAAGCAAAAGCUCCCUUGAAUUUUUAAGAUUGAAUUGCAUUUAGAACAUUUGUCUUGGCUGCCCACCUUCAAAAAUAAAUAGAAAAACACAACUCCA